ACGAACGCUGGCGGCAGGCUUAACACAUGCAAGUCGAGCGAGACCUUCGGGUCUAGCGGCGGACGGGUGAGUAACGCGUGGGAACGUGCCCUUCUCUACGGAAUAGCCCCGGGAAACUGGGAGUAAUACCGUAUACGCCCUUUGGGGAAAGAUUUAUCGGAGAAGGAUCGGCCCGCGUUGGAUUAGGUAGUUGGUGGGGUAAUGGCCCACCAAGCCGACGAUCCAUAGCUGGUUUGAGAGGAUGAUCAGCCACACUGGGACUGAGACACGGCCCAGACUCCUACGGGAGGCAGCAGUGGGGAAUCUUAGACAAUGGGGGCAACCCUGAUCUAGCCAUGCCGCGUGAGUGAUGAAGGCCUUAGGGUUGUAAAGCUCUUUCAGCUGGGAAGAUAAUGACGGUACCAGCAGAAGAAGCCCCGGCUAACUCCGUG
rnacentral:rRNA from 1 species